GCAGCAAGGCGAGGCUCCCGCGUUGGCGAGCCUUUUCAUCCUGCCCCUCCCCUGCGGGUCCUCGCCCAGUGCCCGCUUACCCCAGCAAAGUAAUAGUUUCCUUGUAGUUUAUGAUGUAAGAAAACUGCUUUCAAAAAGUGCCUGCUCCCUGCAAAACUGAUAUGGAAGAAAUACUAAUAAGGUCAGUCGGGGUGAAAAAAUAAUGUAUACUCAACUCAGGCCAAGAGUUCCUCCUACUUCAGUGGCUGAUCCAUAAACGUGAGGUGCCUUUGGAACAUCCGUGUGUCAGCAUCAAGUUUGCUGCUGUAAAUGUUUGUCUGAAACUCAUGAAAGAGGGAUCUGCAGGGUUGGAAGGCCUGAUAAGGGGCACUCUUGCCAUUGGACACAGUGAACUACAAGCUGUGGCUGCUACCUGGACAUCUUGGAUUCCUGCGUCUAGGGGCCAGCAGACAAGAAGAGUCACCAUCUUGGCACAGGUCAUUGUCCCUGAUCAGCAAAUGGAGGAUCAACUCCUGUUACAUCAUGGGGACAGGGAAGAUUAUGUGUAGAAUUCAGGUGACCCACAUGGGAACUUCUCUACCCAAAUCCCAACUAUGGGGUUCCAAAAGGAGCAACCAUGCUCUUCUAUGUCCUG